rnacentral:rRNA from 1 species
AUUGAACGCUGGCGGCAGGCCUAACACAUGCAAGUCGAACGGCAGCGGGGGAUAGCUUGCUAUCCUGCCGGCGAGUGGCGGACGGGUGAGUAAUGCAUGGGGAGCUGCCCAGUCGAGGGGGAUAACAACUGGAAACGGUUGCUAAUACCGCAUACGCCCUGAGGGGGAAAGGUGGGGAACUUCGGUCCUACCGCGAUUGGAUGCGCCCAUGUGGGAUUAGCUAGUUGGUGAGGUAACGGCUCACCAAGGCGACGAUCUCUAGCUGGUCUGAGAGGAUGACCAGCCACACUGGAACUGAGGCACGGUCCAGACUCGUACGGGAGGCAGCAGUGGGGAAUAUUGCACAAUGGGGGAAACCCUGAUGCAGCCAUGCCGCGUGUGUGAAGAAGGCCUUCGGGUUGUAAAGCACUUUCAGUCAGGAGGAAGGGGUGAUGGCUAAUAUCCAUCAUCAUUGACGUUACUGACAGAAGAAGCACCGGCUAACUCCGUGCCAGCCGCCGCAGUAA